rfam:Phaseolus vulgaris cultivar G19833 chromosome 3, whole genome shotgun sequence.
GUGGCUGUAGUUUAGUGGUGAGAAUUCCACGUUGUGGCCGUGGAGAUCUGGGCUCGAAUCCCAGCAGCCACA